rnacentral:rRNA from 1 species
CGCUGGCGGCGUGCUUAACACAUGCAAGUCGAACGGUAAGGCCCCUUCGGGGGUACACGCGUGGCGAACGGGUGAGUAACCCGUGAGCAACCUGCCCUUGACUCUGGAAUAACAGUUGGAAACAGCUGCUAAUACUGGAUAUUCAUCGUCUCCUUCCUGGGGGGUGGUGGAAAGCUCCGGCGGUCAGGGAUGGGCUCGCGGCCUAUCAGCUUGUUGGUGAGGUAAUGGCUCACCAAGGCUUCGACGGGUAGCCGGCCUGAGAGGGCGACCGGCCACACUGGGACUGAGAUACGGCCCAGACUCCUACGGGAGGCAGCAGUGGGGAAUAUUGCACAAUGGGCGCAAGCCUGAUGCAGCAACGCCGCGUGCGGGAUGACGGCCUUCGGGUUGUAAACCGCUUUCAGUAGGGACGAAGGGUGACUGACGGUACCUACAGAAGAAGGACCGGCUAACUACGUG